rnacentral:misc_RNA from 1 species
GGGUUUUUGGACGUUGCUCCUCACUGCCUACCAGCUUUUCACUCAAUUUGCCCAAACCUGACCUCUUUGAAUCUAAGCUAUGCUCCAGGAAUUCAUGGCAGUGAGCUGACAAAGCUAAUUCACCACUGUAGAAAACUCCAGCGUUUAUGGAUACUAGACUGUAUUGGAGAUAAAGGACUAGAAGUUGUGGCAUCCACUUGUAAGGAUUUGC